rnacentral:rRNA from 1 species
UAGGCGUAAAUGAUGCGAGUUAAGUGUGGGGGCAUCUACGAGAUGGCCCUGUGCUGUAGGGUAGCCGUUAAACUCGCUGCCUGGGGAGUACGGUCGCAAGGCUGAAACUUAAAGGAAUUGGCGGGGGAGCACCACAAGAGGUGGAGCUUGCGGUUUAAUUGGAUUCAACGCCGGAAAUCUUACCGGGACCGACAGCAACAUGAAGGCCAGGCUGAAGACUUUGCCGGAUUAGCUGAGAGGAGGUGCAUGGCGUAGUCGUGU